rnacentral:rRNA from 1 species
GAUGAACGCUGACAGAAUGCUUAACACAUGCAAGUCAACUUGAACUUCGGUUUGGGUGGCGGACGGGUGAGUAACGCGUAAAGAACUUGCCUCACAGAUAGGGACAACAUUUGGAAACGAAUGCUAAUACCUGAUAUUAUGAUUUUAGGGCAUCCUAGGAUUAUGAAAGCUAUAUGCGCUGUGAGAGAGCUUUGCGUCCCAUUAGCUAGUUGGAGAGGUAACGGCUCACCAAGGCGAUGAUGGGUAGCCGGCCUGAGAGGGUGAUCGGCCACAAGGGGACUGAGACACGGCCCUUACUCCUACGGGAGGCAGCAGUGGGGAAUAUUGGACAAUGGACCAAGAGUCUGAUCCAGCAAUUCUGUGUGCACGAUGAAGUUUUUCGGAAUGUAAAGUGCUUUCAGUUGGGAAGAAAAAAAUGACGGUACCAACAGAAGAAGUGACGGCUAAAUACGUG